rnacentral:rRNA from 1 species
UACGAAGGGGGCUAGCGUUGUUCGGAAUUACUGGGCGUAAAGCGCACGUAGGCGGAUUGUUAAGUCAGGGGUGAAAUCCUGGAGCUCAACUCCAGAACUGCCCUUGAUACUGGCAAUCUUGAGUCCGGAAGAGGUAAGUGGAACUGCGAGUGUAGAGGUGAAAUUCGUAGAUAUUCGCAAGAACACCAGUGGCGAAGGCGGCUCACUGGCCCGAUACUGACGCUGAGGCACGAAAGCGUGGGGAGCAAACAGGG